rnacentral:rRNA from 1 species
GACGAGGGCGCGAGCGUGUCCGGAUUUAUUGGGCGUAAAGAGCUCGUAGGCGGCUUGUCGCGUCGUCCUGAAAACCUGCAGCUCAACUGCAGGCUUGCGGGCGAUACGGGCAGGCUAGAGUUCGGUAGGGGAGACUGGAAUUCCUGGUGUAGCGGUGAAUGCGCAGAUAUCAGGAGGAACACCGGUGGCGAAGGCGGGUCUCUGGGCCAUACUGACGCUGAGGAGCGAAAGCUGGGGAGCGAACAGG